CAUCCCAAACCGAAGUUUUGACUGGAUUUUCACAAGCUCUAUCCUGCACUUCUUGAGCCUUUGAGAGAAGUUUAUUUUGACCCUUUGAGCCUUCAAACUACAGUUUUAAUGAAAUACUAAGUCAAACAUUUUGUCAGUUUCUUGCAGAUCUUUGGCAUACUCUGAACACGAGUUUUACAAGUACUUGGUUAUAGUAAUGCUGCAAGCAUGAACUGCUCAGUAAGAGCCACAGUCCAGCUGUAAUACUGCAAAAGUACAAGGUUAUCCAGUGAGAUCCCACAGCCAUCCAUUGCUUUAAGAGAGGAAGCUUACAGCCUAAUUAUGAGUCAGCACAGAACAUUGAAACAUUUGUGAAAGCAGCUGGUCCCAGAGGUGAGGUGUUCCAAGCUCCCAUUUUGGAGCCAAGUACGUACGCUGUGGAGUCAGUCAUGACACCCCUUUAUAGAGAACAGACAAUGACUUUUGGAUCUUGUGAGUACCUUUUCUCCCUGCAGAAAAGUUCCCUUCCCCCAUUCUUUUGGAAACAUCUCAGGCUGUAUUGGAAACAGAGGAUGUAAUUUAUUUUUAUCGCUUUCCCUGUCAAACUGGCCAACUG
rnacentral:lncRNA from 1 species